CCUGAAUAUAAUUUUCAGCUGGAAAAAGUAACAAAGGCGCCAGCUCACCCCACCACACGGGAUAGGAUGGUUCUGUGGAGUCUGGCGUACUACACGCCACUUGCCCAGCAUGUACCGCCUGCUGUGGGCCAACCUGAGGAGAGAAGAAGAGGGCUACACGGGAGGUCAGGGCCUGUGCCAUCCAGCCACAUAACCCUCGUGAGGAUGCAUGCAGCAUCAGCCAUGCUGUUUUGGGCACCCUCAGGCUGUCCAAGACACCUGUCAUCUUUAGGGGGUUGCCCCAGACAUCUGAGCCCUAAACUUCGUGGGACCUAAAGGCCACAGUUGUCUUCAAAUCAAGACCCUCCUGUGCCCAGGUUGUGGCCAGUCAGCCUCUGAACCCAGAUCAGUGCCUCUAGCUCUGCAGUGGGCCCCUCCCUCCCGAAAAUCCCAGCCUCAUUUCGGUGUGACUGGCGUUCCCAUUGGAGGAACAGUUGCCCAUGAUUGUAGGUCCAGCCCUGAGGCCCAGGACAGCAGGCUUGGCCAUCUGCAGGCAGAGCUGCUGGGCCCAGAACGCUUGGCCCCUGGCAGAAUGGGGACUGCCCCACAUGCACUCUUGCAGCUUCCUAUGUCUUGCUUUCAGUGUUCAAAACCACCAGACAGAGACGCCUUUCUGCUGAAGCCUGAGUGGUUGGGGGCUGCUCUCUCCGUUCCCAACCCUACAUGCCGCACAGACACUUUUGGCUGGGAGGUCAUUCCAUUCUGCAUAUACACAGAGAUACUGCCCCCUUCUAGUUGUGGUGUUGGCCCUCACCAAGGUUUCUUCUCCCUUGCCAGGUGUUUCCCAGCAGUGCUGGCCCUACCCUCCACUUCUCAGUGAGAGCUUCUGCUUCAUCCAGCUUCCUGCUCACCCUGCUUCCCGCCAUGGCCCACGUUUGUUUGGGAAAUGGUCCUCUCCCUUGUGGUUCAAAAGAGGCCGACCUCACAAACUGCAGAGGGGCCUACAAGUUCCAAGUUUGAACUGGUCUCUGUGUUCAUCUUCAAAAUUUUGGCAAGAACUGGCUUCCAGUUUUCAGGGUGGGAAGCUUCCUGCAUGUCACCAAGACGGCUCCAAGGCUCUCCAAGCCACCUCCCCGGCUCACACACAGAGCCAAAAAAGCACGGUGCCUCGGAGGGAUUCCUGUGGCUGGGCUCCAGGGCCCACGCGAAGGAGUGACACGGGGCACCACGUAAAUACCUGUCUGGUUCAGACACAAGCUUCCUUACAUCAAAACAGCGUGAAAUUGUAGGAGACCCAAAUUCCAAGCCAGGAAUUCAGAAGUGGAAGAAAUCAGUGCCAGACGACUUUGCUUUGCCUUGCAGAUGCCGUUCACACCCUGCCCCAGGAGCCUGACACUAGGGGGGACCAACAGGCCUUCCUGAGAGGGAGUGGCUCUGCAGGGUCACCUUGGGCUGGCCUUGUUCCUUUGCUAAGGGUCACAGAUCCUGGAAGGUGGCUCC
rnacentral:lncRNA from 1 species